GGCUGGUCCGAUGGCAGUGGGUUAUCAGAACUUAUUAACAUUAGUGUCACUAAAGUUGGUAUUCAACCCCCCACUGCUAAAUUUGACUGGUUUUAG
rnacentral:Y_RNA from 1 species